GGGGGCGUAACGGUUUCGACGGGGAUGCAGAGACCGGAAUAGCGGGCGGAUGCGCCUAACAUCCAUAAAAUGGGCACUUAUAAAUUAAAGAACAACGAUAACGCUGUUCUGGCCGCGGCCUAAGCCGUGACCCGUCCCCUCCGGGAGUGCCUCGGCCCGGAUGCGGGGCGUCGAUCAGAGGCGGACGUGAGUGCGCAAAGCUUUGAGCGCACCAUGCAUAAUGAAGCUACCCGACCCGCCGGUUUGACGUUUGACCGGUGACGAAGGAAAACGGGAGCGAUCCCAAAAUAAGCGUCUGCGCCCGGAGAAGUUCCCUUUGAAGCGUUUUCGGACAGGGGUUCAACUCCCCUCGCCUCCACCA
rnacentral:tmRNA from 1 species